rnacentral:misc_RNA from 1 species
AGGUCUCGCAAGAGCUUCCAUAAAGCCGGGGGGGAUACACGAGGACAGGAUCAAGUAUUUCUUAUUUUCUUGAUUUUUAUAGAAAGAUUCAUAGAAAGUAGCUUUUCAAUCGCUUCAGGGAAAACCAGGCUAGGGAAAAUAAAGACCCACAAGUGAGAUAAGCUCAUCACCAAGAAGCACAAAGGCAAAGGGGAAAAACACACAAUUUGUCCAAUUCUCCAAUUCUUUUUUUCCCCCUCAAGAUGUUCAUUUGUAGAUUGGAAAGUGUUACAAUGUGAAUUAAGGAAAUUUUUUUUAAUGUAAAUAUAAUAACAUACAACAAUGAAGUUUAUGCUUAGUGAUAAUGCAGUAAUUUUCAGGAUUGAAAAGCCUUAAAUUCGAAGUUCUAAUAGAAGUUAAUUAUAAAUAAAUAAAUCAGUAGUUUAUAGCUUUAGAGUUAAUGCCAAUUUUCAGAGGGAAGGGGUUAAAAUUUUAAAAUUCAACUUCUUUCUUCAUUUUAACAAAAUUUCCAAAAAAACAUACCCAACAGGGGA